AGGGUUUGAUCCUGGCUCAGAACGAACGCUGGCGGCGUGGAUUAGGCAUGCAAGUCGAACGAGAAGCUUUUAAUUGAUCCUUCGGGUGAUUUUAAAAGUGGAAAGUGGCGAACUGGUGAGUAAUACAUGAGCAACAUACCUUGAUGUGGGGGACAACAGUCCGAAAGGGCUGCUAAUACCGCAUAAGACCACAGUUACAUAUGUAACAGGGGUCAAAGGGGGCCUCUCCUUGGAAGCUCUCGCAUUAAGAUUGGCUCAUGCCCUAUUAGUUUGUUGGUGAGGUAAUGGCUCACCAAGGCAAUGAUGGGUAGCCGACCUGAGAGGGUGAUCGGCCACACCGGAACUGAGACACUGUCCGGACUCCUACGGGAGGCUGCAGUCGAGAAUCAUUCGCAAUGGACGAAAGUCUGACGAUGCGACGCCGCGUGAAGGAUGAAGGCUUUAGGGUCGUAAACUUCUGUCAUGAGGGAAGAAAUGUUUAUAGAUUAACACUCUAUAGAUUUGACGGUACCUUAAGAGGAAGCUCCGGCUAACUCCGUGCCAGCAGCCGCGGUAAUACGGAGGGAGCGAGCGUUGUUCGGAUUCACUGGGCGUAAAGGGCGUCUAGGUGGCCUUGUAAGUUGGAUGUGAAAGCCCUCGGCUCAACCGGGGAAUUGCAUUCAAAACUGCAUGGCUUGAGUAUAAAAGGGGAGAGCGGAAUUCCUAGUGUAGCGGUGAAAUGCGUAGAUAUUAGGAGGAACACCGGUGGCGAAGGCGGCUCUCUGGAUUAAUACU
rnacentral:rRNA from 1 species